AGAAACAGCCACAAUGUACAUAUAUUUAUGGAUCACCCACAUCGUAAGCAUGCUAUUUUAUACACGUUCAUUCCAAGCAUGAUAUAGAGAUGUAAAACAUGAUUUAAAAAUACAAAGCACGAGAGAUCACAACUAUCAGACAAUCAACCAAAGAGUCACACAACACAAUUUAAUCCUAAUUUUCACACUUGUUGCAAUGAAUAGAAUAGAGUACUGAUGCAGAAAUCUAUUUAAUCCUCAAAGGAAAUUAAUCCUAAACAACCGACGUGGAACUGUUACAUUUUAAAAAAAAAAAAUUGUUUUUUUCUGCUGCUCUAAAAAACCAUUUUUUUGCUGCUAUACAAACAUUCGAAAUACUCCAAAAUCAUACACAACUCAUAAUUCAAAACAAAUUACUUGAGUCUCUUGGAAUGACUAACAGAAAUAAAGAUAGAACCUCCACUAUCAUUCAUACAUUACAAUCCAUAACUAAUAAGAAAAUCAUGUAAUUGCAAGUCAUUGAGGCACAAUAAUGAACAUAGGUGAAAUGACAACAGUAAAUUCUCUUAGAUUCAAGCUUCAACUAUGAUGGAACCAAAGAGCAAUAUAGAAACUAAAACUGAAAUGAAAGCAUAUCAAGAUCAAUAACUAAAAAACCUUUGUCCCCAUCAUCAGUGAAUGAGGACAUACUAAUACAACACUUACUUCUAACCACUCUCGAGCUCCUGCCUGCUCCCAUGCUGACAAACCACCCUUUCUACUCU
rnacentral:lncRNA from 1 species